GCCAACCCUCUCGAGAUCUAUGCAUGCGUUAAUUGCGACCUCAUUUCAUCUUCAACUCUCCUCUUUCUUAUAACUCAUAAUCUGAUUAUAUAUACUACUCAUAUUAUGAACUUAAGACUUAAACCGUAGAGAAAAAGUUUAGUUAAGAAGAGAUGGCACAUAGUAGCAGAAAUAUUAGGGUUUUGAGCUUAGCUAUUUUGUUGGUAAUUAGUGUUGUUGUAGUUUUUAGUGUUCAAGGAGCCUUUGCACAGGUAGGGUACGGCAGUAUUGGCACCUUGAAUGCAGAGAGCAAUAUUGGCAAAUUUCAUGCAGCUCUAACUCACUGCAAUAGUGCUGAUGUUGAAAAUCAAAGUUGUUGUAAAGCACUCAAUGCUCUGGAUCUAGCAUGGAACUCGUUGCUUGGACGGAAUUUUGUGGAUGAUCUCUUCAAAUGUGGUGUAAUUACACAACGUUGAGUACUUGACGGACUAGUUAAGCUUCGUCUAACAAGAGACCAGCCUUGUGCUUUGACCUCUGAUUUUCCAUUAUGUCUAGAGAGAAAAAACAAUUGAGUCUUCUACUUAUUUUAUAAUGAAUAAAUGUAUGUUCGGUGCUAAUUGCAAGGUUAAUAUGUCUCAAAUUAUAUUA